UUAAAUUGAAGAGUUUGAUCAUGGCUCAGAUUGAACGCUGGCGGCAGGCCUAACACAUGCAAGUCGAACGGUAACAGGAAACAGCUUGCUGUUUCGCUGACGAGUGGCGGACGGGUGAGUAAUGUCUGGGAAACUGCCUGAUGGAGGGGGAUAACUACUGGAAACGGUAGCUAAUACCGCAUAAUGUCGCAAGACCAAAGAGGGGGACCUUCGGGCCUCUUGCCAUCGGAUGUGCCCAGAUGGGAUUAGCUAGUAGGUGGGGUAACGGCUCACCUAGGCGACGAUCCCUAGCUGGUCUGAGAGGAUGACCAGCCACACUGGAACUGAGACACGGUCCAGACUCCUACGGGAGGCAGCAGUGGGGAAUAUUGCACAAUGGGCGCAAGCCUGAUGCAGCCAUGCCGCGUGUAUGAAGAAGGCCUUCGGGUUGUAAAGUACUUUCAGCGGGGAGGAAGGGAGUAAAGUUAAUACCUUUGCUCAUUGACGUUACCCGCAGAAGAAGCACCGGCUAACUCCGUGCCAGCAGCCGCGGUAAUACGGAGGGUGCAAGCGUUAAUCGGAAUUACUGGGCGUAAAGCGCACGCAGGCGGUUUGUUAAGUCAGAUGUGAAAUCCCCGGGCUCAACCUGGGAACUGCAUCUGAUACUGGCAAGCUUGAGUCUCGUAGAGGGGGGUAGAAUUCCAGGUGUAGCGGUGAAAUGCGUAGAGAUCUGGAGGAAUACCGGUGGCGAAGGCGGCCCCCUGGACGAAGACUGACGCUCAGGUGCGAAAGCGUGGGGAGCAAACAGGAUUAGAUACCCUGGUAGUCCACGCCGUAAACGAUGUCGACUUGGAGGUUGUGCCCUUGAGGCGUGGCUUCCGGAGCUAACGCGUUAAGUCGACCGCCUGGGGAGUACGGCCGCAAGGUUAAAACUCAAAUGAAUUGACGGGGGCCCGCACAAGCGGUGGAGCAUGUGGUUUAAUUCGAUGCAACGCGAAGAACCUUACCUGGUCUUGACAUCCACAGAACUUUCCAGAGAUGGAUUGGUGCCUUCGGGAACUGUGAGACAGGUGCUGCAUGGCUGUCGUCAGCUCGUGUUGUGAAAUGUUGGGUUAAGUCCCGCAACGAGCGCAACCCUUAUCCUUUGUUGCCAGCGGUCCGGCCGGGAACUCAAAGGAGACUGCCAGUGAUAAACUGGAGGAAGGUGGGGAUGACGUCAAGUCAUCAUGGCCCUUACGACCAGGGCUACACACGUGCUACAAUGGCGCAUACAAAGAGAAGCGACCUCGCGAGAGCAAGCGGACCUCAUAAAGUGCGUCGUAGUCCGGAUUGGAGUCUGCAACUCGACUCCAUGAAGUCGGAAUCGCUAGUAAUCGUGGAUCAGAAUGCCACGGUGAAUACGUUCCCGGGCCUUGUACACACCGCCCGUCACACCAUGGGAGUGGGUUGCAAAAGAAGUAGGUAGCUUAACCUUCGGGAGGGCGCUUACCACUUUGUGAUUCAUGACUGGGGUGAAGUCGUAACAAGGUAACCGUAGGGGAACCUGCGGUUGGAUCACCUCCUUACCUUAAAGAAGC
rnacentral:rRNA from 1 species